rnacentral:rRNA from 1 species
GACGAACGCUGGCGGCGUGCUUAACACAUGCAAGUCGAACGGGUCUGCCCUGUUUUUUGCGGGGUGGGUCAGUGGCGAACGGGUGAGUAACACGUGAGUAACCUGCCCCUCACUUCUGGAUAACCGCUUGAAAGGGUGGCUAAUACGGGGUGUUCUGGCUGUGCCGCAUGGUGUGGCUGGGAAAGAUUCACUUUUGUGGUGUUUUGGUGGGGGAUGGGCUCGCGGCCUAUCAGCUUGUUGGUGGGGUGAUGGCCUGCCAAGGCUUUGACGGGUAGCCGGCCUGAGAGGGUGGGCGGUCACACUGGGACUGAGAUACGGCCCAGACUCCUGCGGGAGGCAGCAGUGGGGGGUAUUGCACAAUGGGCGGAAGCCUGAUGCAGCGACGUCGCGUGAGGGAUGGAGGCCUUCGGGUUGUGAACCUCUUUCGCCGGUGAAGAGGGUCCUGCUCUUUGUGGUGGGGUUGACGGUAGCCGGGUUAUGAAGCGCCGGCUAACUACGUG